AAUUAAUCCAAGGCAGUUGCAAGAAAAGUGGGAACUAGGUCCGCUGGUGUUGUUUCCCUGAUGUUAAUGAGCUCAUCUCUGGUGAAAGAGCUCCGGGUACCGUGGCAGAAAACUAAAUUUACAAUAAAAACAAGAGAAAACAAUCCAA